AUGGGGAAGCCGCAGCUCACGCUCCUGGGAGUGGCGGCGGUGCUGCUGCUCUCCUCCUCCCUCCACGGCGCCAGGGCGGAGGAGGAGUCCGCCGGCCUGGACACGGGCGUCGCCGGCGAGCCCGGCGUGCUCAACUCCAGCGCCGUGUCCAUCGGGCAGUCGGGCGUCGCCCGGGCCACCUGGUACGGCGCGCCCAAUGGCGCCGGCCCCUACGACAACGGCGGCGCUUGCGGGUUCAAGAACGUGAACCGGUACCCGUUCAUGGCCAUGACCUCCUGCGGUAACCAGCCGCUGUUCAAGGACGGCAAGGGCUGCGGCGCAUGCUACAAGAUCAAGUGCACGAAGCACAAGGCGUGCUCUGGGCGGCAGGAGACGGUGGUGAUCACGGACAUGAACUACUACCCGGUGGCGCCCUACCACUUCGACCUCAGCGGCACCGCCUUCGGCAAGCUCGCCAAGCCCGGCCGCAACGACGAGCUCCGCCACGCCGGCAUCAUCGACAUCCAGUUCACCAGGGUGCCUUGCGAGUUCCCGGGGCUCAAGGUGGGGUUCCACGUGGAGGAGGGGUCCAACGCGGUGUACAUGGCGAUCCUGGUGGAGUACGAGAACGGCGACGGCGACGUGGUGCAGGUGGACCUCAUGGAGUCCGGCCGCCGGGGAGGGGGAGGCGGGCGGUGGACGCGGAUGCGCGAGUCGUGGGGCUCCAUCUGGCGCCUCGACUCCAACCACCGCCUGCAGGCGCCCUUCUCCCUCCGCAUCCGCAACGAGUCCGGCAAGACGCUCGUCGCCCGCAACGUCAUCCCCAAGAACUGGAGGCCCAACACCUUCUACCGCUCCAUCGUCCAGUACAGCUAG
rnacentral:rRNA from 1 species